UACUUGAGCUAGAGUGUCGUACGGGUGCGUAACACGUAUGCAACCUACCUUUUACAGGAGUAUAGCUCCCCGAAAGGGGAAUUAACCCUCCAUAAUAUCAUUGGAUGGCAUCAUUUGAUGAUUAAAACUGAGGUGGUAAAAGAUGGGCAUGCGUCUGAUUAGUUAGUUGGCAGUGUAACGGACUACCAAGACGAUGAUCAGUAGGGGACCUGAGAGGGUGAUCCCCCACACUGGCACUGAGAUACGGGCCAGACUCCUACGGGAGGCAGCAGUAGGGAAUAUUGGACAAUGGGUGAGAGCCUGAUCCAGCCAUGCCGCGUGCAGGAAGAAGGCGUUAUGCGUUGUAAACUGCUUUUGCCAGGGGAUAAAACGGUUCUGCGGAACUAAUUGAAGGUACCUGGUGAAUAAGCCACGGCUAACUACGUGCCAGCAGCCGCGGUAAUACGUAGGUGGCAAGCGUUGUCCGGAUUUAUUGGGUUUAAAGGGUGCGUAGGCGGCCCUGUAAGUCAGUGCUGAAAUAUCCCGGCUUAACCGGGAGGGUGGCAUUGAUACUGCAGGGCUUGAGUACAGAUGAGGUAGGCGGAAUUGACGGUGUAGCGGUGAAAUGCAUAGAUAUCGUCAAGAACACCGAUAGCGAAGGCAGCUUACCAAGCUGUAACUGACGCUGAGGCACGAAAGUGUGGGGAUCAAACAGGAUUAGAUACCCUGGUAGUCCACACUGUAAACGUUGAUGACUCGAUGUUGGCGAUAUACAGCCAGCGUCCAAGAGCAAUCGUUAAGUCAUCCACCUGGGGAGUACGCCGGCAACGGUGAAAC
rnacentral:rRNA from 1 species